rnacentral:tRNA from 1 species
GCAUUGAUGGUGUAGCGGUAACAUGCGGUCUUCCCAUCAAUUUGAAUGCGUGGCCGCGCUCCGAGUUCGACUCUCGGUCAAUGCA